GACAGUUGGAAAUGGCUAUUCAUAUUAUGGAAACUUUUUCUCACCAGAGCUUGAUAAUCAGGUAAAAUGCUGGAAGAUUAUUUGAUGUAUGAUAACAACAAGAGAUCCCAAGCACCAAUAUAUUUUAUAAUUCUGGAAAAGAAUGCAUUUGACCCAAUUUUUGAAUAUUUAUUUUUUGUUUUUACUGUUAAAUAUUCUUCCCAAACACAAUUAGAUUUUAAUUCUCUACAGAAAUUUAUGUAUAAUAUAGAAUGUAAAGUGACAUAUUAAUCACUUAGAAUUUGGUCGGAAAUUAUAAAGUAUUUAAUAGGCAUAAUCUAGAAACCAAAUGUAGAUCAAAUAUACCCAGAAUUACAAAAAACCUUGACCUACAUUAAGGUGACUUUCCCUUGCUUAUGAAAUGAAAUAGGGUUUAAGAUCCUACUUUUCUGUGUUAUUAUGGUGAUUCUGCCCUACAACCUACUCUUAUAUCAAAUAUUUCAACUGUCAA